rnacentral:rRNA from 1 species
GAUGAACGCUGGCGGCGUGCCUAAUACAUGCAAGUCGAGCGAACGGACGAGAAGCUUGCUUCUCUGAUGUUAGCGGCGGACGGGUGAGUAACACGUGGAUAACCUACCUAUAAGACUGGGAUAACUUCGGGAAACCGGAGCUAAUACCGGAUAAUAUUUUGAACCGCAUGGUUCAAAAGUGAAAGACGGUCUUGCUGUCACUUAUAGAUGGAUCCGCGCUGCAUUAGCUAGUUGGCAAGGUAACGGCUUACCAAGGCAACGAUGCAUAGCCGACCUGAGAGGGUGAUCGGCCACACUGGAACUGAGACACGGUCCAGACUCCUACGGGAGGCAGCAGUAGGGAAUCUUCCGCAAUGGGCGAAAGCCUGACGGAGCAACGCCGCGUGAGUGAUGAAGGUCUUCGGAUCGUAAAACUCUGUUAUUAGGGAAGAACGUAUGUGUAAGUAACUGUGCACAUCUUGACGGUACCUAAUCAGAAAGCCACGGCUAACUACGUG